rfam:Tetranychus urticae London genomic scaffold, scaffold_27
AUCGCUUCUCGGCCUCCUAGGCUAAGAUCAAAGUGUAGUAUCUGUUCUUAUCAGCUUGAUCGCUGGUACCCGGCGCACUCCGCCGGUAUGCGAUUGAACAUAUUUUUGUAAACGGAUGAGAGUCUGAGCUUGCUUAGACCUUGUCACGGGUUGGCCUGGCAUUGCAGUACCGCCAGGAUCGGCCCACAUUUA